ensembl:antisense C330022C24Rik RIKEN cDNA C330022C24 gene
UUCAGCCUCUUGGGGCCCCUUACCUACCGAAAGUGCUAGAAACAAGGCCCAGACUUACCACAGACGCAGAGCAGGCUUAGGGCCACCAGCAGAAGAGCGCUGCUCCCUUUCAUGGUGACAGUCACAAGAACUGCUUGGGGGAUACCAGGCUUUUAUGCUGUAGAAGGUGGCACCUUGCCCGGGGGCGGGGCAUACCUCUCAGGACCUGGCAGGACAACUGGGCCAGGCAUGUCACUGUGCUCCAUUAGGUGCCAAGAAGUGCCAAACUUGAGUGGAUCAUAAGGGGGCAGUUGGCAAACAUGUCGGGAAAUACUCAUUGUACAGGUCGUCGUCCUGUAGAAGGCUGUCUUCUGAGCGCACGGCCAUUACCGCCUUCACGGGAAGCAGCUAUGAGUGUUCAUGAAUGGUCCUCAAGAAUACAUAGCUCCUGGGAGAGUAACCUGGUGGGAAACCCCGUCUAUUCAGCUCUGGGGAUGUCAGGAUCCAUGCUGGGCAGUGCCUUGUUGGUCAAACGGAUGUUUGAGUCACCCAUAUUCUUGUGGUGUAGGACCAUGGGCUCAGCAGCAGAGGUACGUGGAACUUCUGGGUCUCCUUUGUAAUAGUGAAAACCACCUGUGAGAAGCAGAGAAGGUUCUUGAAGACACUGAAGAUGGUGAGUCCUUCCUGCAAUAGCCCCUGGGUCUUCCAGACAGCAGGAGGUCAGGUGCCAUGCCGGCUAAGAAGCGAGAGAUGCUUAUAUAAGAUCUGAUGAUACCGUUUGAAUAGUGUCUCCUACAAGAGAUGUUAGUUGGUAGGCUUUGGGGGAUGUGAUUUGACACUGAGGGCUCUGAUCUGGUUGAAUCAACUGGUUAAACUUUUGGGAUUAACUGGAUCCAUCAUGUGAUACACCAUUAGUAGGUAUUGAAACUUGGAGGAGUCCUAGGGGACCAUGUCUUCCCUUGUGUUCAUUUCUUCUGCUUGUCCCCCAUGAGGUGACAGCGCUCCUCUUUUAUAUGUCCCCACUGCCGUAGUGAGUGUGUGGAGCCAAGCAAUCAUGGACUGAGAUAAUGAAACCAAAUAAAUAAUUCUCCCUUAAGC